UACGUAGGGGGCAAGCGUUGUCCGGAUUUAUUGGGCGUAAAGAGCGUGUAGGCGGCCAGAUAGGUCCGUUGUGAAAACUGGAGGCUUAACCUCCAGCUGUCGAUGGAAACCAUCUGGCUAGAGUCCGGAAGAGGAGAGUGGAAUUCCUGGUGUAGCGGUGAAAUGCGCAGAUAUCAGGAAGAACACCCGUGGCGAAGGCGGGUCUCUGGGCCGAAACUGACGCUGAGGAGCGAAAGCGUGGGGAGCGAACAGG
rnacentral:rRNA from 1 species